rnacentral:lncRNA from 8 species
AUGUAUUCCCGCUGUGCCUUUAUAAUGUUCUUCCAUCCCUCCCUCCGUUCCUUCUUCCAUCCAUCCCUCCCUCCGUUCCUUCUUCCAUCUCUCCCUCCGUUCCUUCUUCCAUCCCUCCCUCCCUCCGUUCCUUCUUCCAUCUCUCCCUCCGUUCCUUCUUCCAUCCCUCCCUCCUUUCCUUCUUCCAUCCCUCCCUCCUUUCCUUCUUCCAUCCCUCCCUCCGUUCCUUCUUCCAUCCCUCCCUCCGUUCCUUCUUCCGUCCCUCCCUCCGUUCCUUCUUCCAUCCCUCCCUCCCUCCCUCCCUCCGUUCCUUCUUCCAUCCCUCCCUCCCUCCGUUCCUUCUUCCAUCCCUCCCUCCAUUUCCUCCAGGGUUCUUUCCGUGGCCUGUCCUCUCCUGUCAGACCUGCCAAGGCAGCCCCUAAGGGUGGGGAGAACGCUGUUGUGCGCCUCUUCAGAACGAUCGUGUCCCCUGCCCCUCCUAAGUCUAGGUGGACGGCAAUGACUGCAAAACUAGGCCAGAAGUCAACAGGAUCCGCUAAGGCGAAGAAGGCCGGUGCAGGAGACAGCGGAACCCUGUCCAAGAUCUUCAAAAUGGGCGCAAGCCGGACCGGGUCUCUACCCAAAAAAUGAGGUCCCCUUUCAAGAGCACAAAGGCAGACGUCAAGAAAAGGGACACAAGUGGGGGAAAACAAAGAAGAUAAAAGAACGGAUCUUUGUCGACUCACACACACACACCUCUCCCUGCUUUUCUAACACUUUCAUUUUAUAACUCAAAUGCCUCCGCCACCGGCUGGUAGAUAUAGCGACACAAUCUGUGCCCCCCACCCCUGCUCCCCCCCCCCCCCCCCACCUCUCCUGUGCAACCAUCUUGGAUGUGAACUGUUGCUGAAGUCAUCCGGACCCCCUUUUACAGCCUAAAGGACCCCCGUCGUAGCUCUACAGUACCUGUGUCUUCAUUUCUAUUUCUCUGUCUGUCUGUCUGUCUGUAUAGAGUCGUCUAACAAGGCUGGUUAACUGGACCAGACCUGGCUGAAGUAGAUUAGGUCCAACUGACCUGGCCCUGACCGCUUGUGAAGGUGUGACCAGGUCUGGUUCUGGUUCAGAAACAAGUGAUUAUCUGUCUUGUCAUGCUUGUCUUUGUCAUUUCCCCCCAAACCCCACACACUCUCCCAUUUCUGUACAACCUGACAUUAAUUCAUAGCUAAGCAUUGUCUUACUCAGCUUGCAUGGGUUGUUGUGAUGGCCAGUUGGUCAUGUGUUUGUAUGUCUACCCUCCUGUAUCCUCAGUGUAAGUGUCCUGUCUUAAGUGUUGCUGUCUUUCCAUGUUUUUACGUUAGGGUCUAUGGCUGGCAGGGAUCUUCGGUGGUAAAAUGACAUCGAGCUACUGAAAGUUGUUAACCUACUAAAA